GAUGAACGCUGGCGGCGUGCUUAACACAUGCAAGUCGAACGGAAAGGCCUCUGCUUGCAGGGGUACUCGAGUGGCGAACGGGUGAGUAACACGUGGGUGAUCUGCCCUGCACUUCGGGAUAAGCCUUGGAAACUGGGUCUAAUACCGGAUAGGACAAUGUUUUGGAUGCCGUUGUGGAAAGUUUUUCGGUGUGGGAUGAGCUCGCGGCCUAUCAGCUUGUUGGUGGGGUAAUGGCAUACCAAGGCGUCGACGGGUAGCCGGCCUGAGAGGGUGUACGGCCACAUUGGGACUGAGAUACGGCCCAGACUCCAACGGGAGGCAGCAGUGGGGAAUAUUGCACAAUGGGCGCAAGCCUGAUGCAGCGACGCCGCGUGGGGGAUGACGGCCUUCGGGUUGUAAACUACUUUCGCUAGGGACGAAGCGCAAGUGACGGUACCUGGAGAAGAAGCACCGGCUAACUACGUG
rnacentral:rRNA from 1 species